rnacentral:rRNA from 1 species
AAUCAACGCUGGCGGCGUGCCUCAGACAUGCAAGUCGAACGAUUAAAGCUCCCUUCGGGGAGUGCAUAGAGUGGCGCACGGGUGAGUAACACGUAAGUAAUCUACCUUUGAGUGGGGAAUAACGUUCGGAAACGGACGCUAAUACCGCAUAAUGCAGCGGCAUCGCAAGAUGACAGUUGUUAAAGGAGCAAUCCGCUUAAAGAGGAGCUUGCGGCAGAUUAGCUUGUUGGUAAGGUAACGGCUUACCAAGGCUACGAUCUGUAUCCGGUCUAAGAGGACGGUCGGACACACUGACACUGAAUAACGGGUCAGACUCCUACGGGAGGCAGCAGUCGGGAAUUUGGGCAAUGGGCGAAAGCCUGACCCAGCAACGCCGCGUGAAGGAUGAAGUAUUUCGGUAUGUAAACUUCGAAAGAAUAGGAAGAAUAAAUGACGGUACUAUUUAUAAGCUCCGGCUAACUACGUGCCAGCCGCCGCCGUAAU